CUAGGGGCUCGGCGGGCGGGAGGAUCCGCGCUGCUGGGCUGGGAGGACCCGCGGGAAGGAGGAGGUGAACCACCUGGGGCGCAGUCCAGGUGGUGUCGUUCCACGUCGGAAGCUUUUCUGCAUUGAUGGUAUGAUGAAUUCGAUACACAGUGGUGAUGUUGAAGACCUGGUGGAGGAACACACAGAGGAACUGUCUACAGAACUUCAGCAACUUCUGGCUGAGCAACAGAGAAUGGCAGCUGAGGAGCUUUCUGGAGAGGAGGGGGAGGAUCAACAAUCAGUGCAGCAAAGUUCUUCUAAAAGAAAGGAAAUCCUGAAAAACUGGAUGGACUUUACAAUUGUAAGAAGACCAACUCAGACAGAGAAAAAGCCAAUCAUUGCACUCACUUGUUUAAUGAUGUCAUGUCAUACUAUAGAAUAGUGUUAAAGAAAAGACAGAAACAGAUAACCUUAGACCAGUUUUUAUUUCUUAAAAGGUUGAGACCUAGUGAGCCAGAAACAGGUCCUAGUGAGCUACAAACUCUCCCAAGGAGACAGGACGUCUUACGGAAGAGACUUUCCCUCCAAACAAUAUCCACCUUCCAUUUCAUCCUCCCUUCCUGCAAGCCAAAGAUGUCAACUUGCAUGGUGAGUACCAUAUGAAAUUUUUGUUUCUGUUAAACUAGGGACAUUUUGUAACUUUUUGGUGAAUACAUCAGGAAAAUUAUUGAUGUUCUGAUAAAUUAUGUACAUUAUACAAUUCUUUUUAUUAUGAAAAGGUUAGUUAUGGGAUGAUUUGGGAGGUUCAGAAUACAUUAUGGGUAUUUCCAUGUUUUCUUAUGGGAAAAUAGUCUUGACUUACAACCCCCUUGAGUUAUAUCCAAUCCUCCUGAGCAAAUUGAAUUGGUAAGUCAAGAAUAUGCUAUAACGAUGGCAUAGAGAAUAUACACACAAAACAGUAGAAGAUGUGAAUGCUUGGAAUUUGCAUGAAAUGCUGAAGAUUUUCAAUUAUAUGAAUUUAUCAAUAAAAUAAGUCAAAGCAACUUAAAUGUCUCUCUCUUCCCUUCUGCAUGUAUGUGUGUGUGUAUAAGUGAGGAUUAAACUCAGGGCCUUCACAUUUAGUUACACCCAGCGUUUUUUUUUUUUUUUUUUUUUUUUUUUUUUGUACCAGUGAUUGAACUCUGGUUCUUGUGCUUGUAAGGCAGACGGUGGAACCACUGAGCUAAACCCCGGGCCUACCCGCCCCAUCUCUUUUUACUUAAUUUUGAGACAGUCUCAUUAAACUGCUUCAAUUGGCCUCAAACUUGCAAUCCUCCUUAGCCUCCCAGAGUGCUGGGAUUAUAGGCAUGCUGUUCUCUCUGAUUAUGUGACCAAAUUACCAUAAGUGUUUAUAUUUACUUAUACAAAGUCCACCAGAAAAAUGUAUACACACUUCAGGAAAAGAAAAAUAGUAUUUUUUUUUUUAACAGAUGGUGUUAUCCUUGUAUGGGAGUCCCUAGAGGAUGGUGUAUAUCACAGAAAACCCACUACACUACCAGGUCUUAAAAGAAAUUGAAAAAUCCAUGCGCAGCAAUCUCAAUAGCCAAGGUUACCCAAACAACUGUUCACCAUAUUAAUAAAUGUAUGGAAGCUAAUGGCCACCAUUUUGAGCACCUCUUUAAAUU
ensembl:lincRNA